CUGCCUUAAACUAAUGAGUAAGGAAAACAAAGCGGGUGGUGGGAGCUGCCCGCCGCGCUCAUAACAUUGCUAUGCGCAUGAAUUUAUGGAGGGGUGAUAGGCUGGCCGAGUGUUGACGCUGCUUACUUUGCAGAACUCACCCGUGCGGGCCUCCCGC